rnacentral:rRNA from 1 species
GACGAACGCUGGCGGCGUGCUUAACACAUGCAAGUCGAACGGAAAGGCCCCUUUGGGGGUACACGAGUGGCGAACGGGUGAGUAACACGUGAGUAACCUGCCCUUGACUUCGGGAUAACUUCAGGAAACUGGGGCUAAUACCGGAUAGGAAUCCUUGCUGCAUGGUGGGGGUUGGAAAGCUUCGGCGGUUUUGGAUGGACUCGCGGCUGAUCAGCUUGUUGGUGGGGUAGUGGCUUACCAAGGCUUUGACGGGUAGCCGGCCUGAGAGGGCGACCGGCCACAUUGGGACUGAGAUACGGCCCAGACUCCUACGGGAGGCAGCAGUGGGGAAUAGUGCACAAGGGGCGGAAGCCUGAUGCAGCAACGCCGCGUGCGGGAUGACGGCCUUCGGGUUGUAAGCCGCUUUCAGCAGGGGCGAAGCUUGUGGUGACGGUACCUGCAGAAGAAGCACCGGCUAACUACGUG